UUAUCUGGGUGUGUUAAGGCACCGAAUUUGACGUUUCGUAUAAUGUAAAAUUGUGGAAGUUCAUAUUUCUAGUUCUUUCUAAUGUUAAUGUCGUCACGUUCUUAAUUUGAGACUCAAUGCUUCGAGUAAUAUCUAGGAAAUCUAAUAAAGUGGCCAAUUAUAAUAAAUUCUAACUUGCUAACAGAUAUGGCCUUUUGCAUUUCCUUUCUGUAAAUAAUACAUCUGUGCUGACAAUUUUUCUUUUUUUGUUAUUUUGGUUUUUCCACUGUACAUGCCAGGUCCGCACUUCUGGAUGGAAAUCUCAUGUAAGUGGAUUUUUUUUCCUUUUUCUUGAUGAGCCUUUAGUGAUUGGGUAAAAUGAAAAAAUGGUUAAGUGGGAUAACUAUCAAGUGUUGAAUUGAUUCACUCUCAUUAAUUGUUGAAUACAUGUGUCUGUGUAUCCCUUUGUAAUGCAAUUUGUUAUAAAUGGGGUUGUUAUUAUAUUGCUGUGCAAGUUAUUGAUGAUAUAAUUACCGGUGAAGGCAUGUUCUUAGGUUUAUAUGAAGUAUAGUAGUAAAGUUUCCAGUUUGGUGUGGAACAUAUUCCUCAGGGAACAUAUUUUAUUGGAAAAUCAUAGACGUAAAAUUUUCUCUUCUGCGGUUGUUCAGAUACCAUAAAAAAGGAAAAUGAAAACAAAUCAAUAUUUAUCGUCCUUACAAUGCUAAGGAUUGUGGUUUUCCCCUUUAUUUUGUAACGAAGUGUAGAUUCAUUUAAGUUUUAUAAAGAAGAAAUGUAACUUACAAGAGGAUAUGAUGUAGCUUAGAUGACUUCAAAUCUUAUUCUAGAACAUGGUGCCAUUGUAGUCAGUAUCUAUACAGGUGUUUGUGAUACCUAUAAGGUUGAAAGGGAAGUUCUGGAGAAUCGUCACUUAUGGUGCUGAGCGUGGAGCUGAUAAAUGGAAAAAUGUCCUUAAGUGGUUAUUAGAAUGUUAAGAUGAAUGUCUAGUCAUACUAAAUGAAUGACAUAAGAAAUGAGAAUUUACACCAACAGGUGAGGAUGGCAUAUCAGACUCAAAGUGGUUAUGAGGAUGACUUUUGUGAUUCAAACAUAUCAGACUUAAAGAAGCCCUUGUCAUCUAAUGGAAUAGGUUAGAAGGUGUAGACCAAAAUUAGCUUGUCCGUUGUGGUUGUGAAGGAUUUGAUUGCAAUGUAUCAUCUAGUGGAAGUAACAGUGUACCGAUAAACGUGUUGAAAAAGAUUCAUGCGUUUGACCCCAAUAUUUGUUAGAAAGAAGGCUUAGUUUGUUGUCAUAGUUGUGCAUUUAUACAGGAGAUUCCCCGAAAAUAUAGUUUCCAUAAUUCCAUUUAAUUUUGAUUUAUGCCAUCAAGUCCCAAAAUGCAACUAGAAUAAAUGAUUUAGAAACUUGUACGAAAAUGCUGACUCUCUUAGGGAAAUUGAUGGCUUUUCACUCGCAAGUAAAACUCAAUUCUGCCAAAUAUUUCUUCCUCAUCUCUUCUCUUGAUUUUUCUUUAUCAUCCUAUCCUAUCCUUUUUCUUGUCCUUUUCAUUUUUAGACUCUGUUCUUUCUCAAUUGGUAAAUUCAUCUCGAAAUAUAAAAUGAGAAGGAAAAAAAAAAGAAAAAGAAAAAAGAAGAAGAAUGGUUGGCAAUGUUUAUGAAGAAUUUCUAUUGGCGACACAGCUUUCUAUAAAUUGGCCAUGAGAUUCUAUCUUGUUAUUAUUAGGGAUUGACUUUGUUGAUUGAUUGGUGCUAGCAACUUGCUGAUGUGUUUGCUCUGUGUUGGGUAAUGACAUAAUGAUUUCCAUCAACUGAAACGUUGCCCUUUUUUUUUUUCUUUUUUUCUUUUUUUUUUN
rnacentral:lncRNA from 1 species